rnacentral:rRNA from 1 species
GACAGAGGCCACGAACGUUGUUCGGAAUCACUGGGCAUAAAGCGCACGUAGGCGGCUAGGUCCGUCCGAUGUGAAAGCCCCCGGCUCAACCGGGGAAUAGCAUCGGAUACAGCCUGGCUUGAGGACGGUUGGGGUGAGUGGAACUCCUGGUGGAGCGGUGAAAUGCGUAGAUAUCAGGAGGAACACCGGUGGCGAAAGCGGCUCACUGGACCGUUUCUGACGCUGAGGUGCGAAAGCGUGGGGAGCGAACAGG